rnacentral:misc_RNA from 1 species
AACGGUCUAUACCUGCGGUACCUGCGGAAGGAUCAUUAACAAGUUGGUUACUUCUCUAUGAAGUUCGCCAUCUUACCCUUGUGAACUUGUCUUUGUUGCUUCUGGUAGACUUGCCCAAGUCUGCCAGUUGGACGAUAACACUGUAACUUUUGAAAUGUCUGAGUUAUGAAUUAAUACAUUCAAAACUUUCAGCAAUGGAUCUCU